UACGGGGGGGGCUAGCGUUGUUCGGAAUUACUGGGCGUAAAGCGCACGUAGGCGGUUUCUCAAGUCAGAGGUGAAAGCCCGGAGCUCAACUCCGGAAUUGCCUUUGAAACUAGGUGACUUGAAUCAUGGAGAGGUCAGUGGAAUUCCGAGUGUAGAGGUGAAAUUCGUAGAUAUUCGGAAGAACACCAGUGGCGAAGGCGGCUGACUGGACAUGUAUUGACGCUGAGGUGCGAAAGCGUGGGGAGCAAACAGG
rnacentral:rRNA from 1 species